CUUAUAGUGACAGGCUUGCAUAUAUCACAUGUGUUGUUCUGCAAUUUUCACCCUGGAUUUCUAAUUGCUUAAGGUCAUUUGAAUAUCUUCAAAUUCACUAUAUCAAAUUGAUAACACUUCCAAGAAUAAAGUAACAAAGUUUGCUUUCCUGGCUUCACAAAGAAAAUUUCUUCUUAAACAUCCUUUAUGGAUACAAAUCUGAAUUAGUUCUGAAGAGUUCCAUAUUGAAAGAGUUUAAAACUAUUUUUCUCCUGAAACUUAUUUUAUUGUAUAACAACUCACUUUGUGCAGACAUCCUUCCUCAGAUCUAAUCUAAACCCUCUGUACUGCAUUUUAUUCUUUUCCUUUUGUUCUGGCUCAGCAAUCAGAAGAACAGAUGGCCAUCUUCUGUCAGUACUUGAAGACUGUUUCUAAGAAACAUUAAGCCUCCAUCAGGCUCACUUGUUAAUGCAAAAGUCCUACUCAGGACAGAAGCUGGGACAAUCUUUGAAGUCAUCAGGGGUCUGGAAUAAACUGAAAUAUUCUCAAGGUAUCUAACUGAAACUUGUGUUCAUAUGAAGAUUUGUCAACCAAUGUUUAUGGAAGCAUUAUGGAUAAUAGUUCAAAAUUGGGAACAACACAAAUGUCCAUCAAAUGGUAAGUGAAUAAAGAGAAUGUGGUAUAUUUAUACAAAGGAAUACAAUUCAGCAAUAAAAUCCAUGAAUUGUACAUACAGGAAACAACAGAUUAACCUCAAAAACAUUAUGCCGAGUGAAAGAAGCCAGACACUAAGACUAUGUAUUGUAUGUUUAAAUUUAUAUGACACUUCUAGAAAAUGUAAAUCUAUGAAGAAAAAAUAUAGAUCACUGGUUUCCUGGGGCUGAUUAACAAAGUGGAAAUCAACUGCAAAGAACAUGAGGCAAGUUUUUGGGGUGAUGAAAAUGUUUUAAAUUUGGGGGUGUUGGUUGCACAAUUACAUAGAUAUUUAUUAAAUAUCAUUAAGCUGAUACUCAGAUGAAUCUUAUGCUAUGCAAACUAAUCUUAGUAAGACUAUGAUUCUGAAUGCUUAUCCAUUUCUAUACAUCUAUGUCCAAUUUCUAUAGCUCUGUAUUCUAAUUUUGCAUGCUGUGUAAGUCCAGGGAAAUUGAGGUGUGCAUGUGUGAUGUUUACCCUCCUCCCUAAUGUUCCAGCUCGAAUAGAACUUUUCUGUUUCUUGAAUAUGCAAAAGUUUUACUCUGCUCCAGGAGAUUUUUCUACACAUGCUGCAACCUCUCCCUAGAAUGUUCUUUCCCACCAAGCUUCUCAAGGUUGUUUUUAUUUCAAGUUGUUGCUAAUGUCACUUCCUCAGAGAGGUCUUCCCUGGCUUUGUAAAGUUGAUCCCCAGCCCCCAUAAUAUCUUUGAUCUCUUUUGAAUUUCUUUCACAGCAUUUAGCUUAAUUUUGAGUUAGUUUCAUUUACAUGUAUACCUACACAUUUGUAUGUCUAUAUUUAGUCUUUUCUCUAAUAAAAUAUAAGCCUUAUAAGUAGAGUAUAUGUAUCUGAGUGCCUGCUACAAUGUGGAUAUUUAAUAUUUUGUGACAAAUGAAUAAAUGAAAAAGAAUAUUUCCUGCAUUAAGUGAUGAUAAGUUACAAAAAUCCUGAAUAUUUUAAGUAGGUCUGCAUUUCCAGUUUCCUUCAAGAAUUUCUAGUCAUUAAUGGACUUAUCUCAUAGUCUAUACUAGUAUCCUGGGAAUGUUCUGAAAUUUCCCUGAUAUUCCGAGGGUCUUUGACAUGGGUGUAUGUUUUGACAGGGAGAACAUUCUAAGAUCUACGAGGGUCACCCUAACUUUCCCAGGUCUAUCUCCUAAAACUUUAUAAGAUCGUAGGAGGCAUAAAGACUCCAGAUUUAUUUAGUGACCUGUAAUUACCAGUGACUAAAUAUUGUUUUUUGACACCUUAUUUGGCACCUCACCUUAAAAAACCUGUUUUUACAAUUGAAUCAGACCUUCCAUUGCAUAAACCAUAAUACAGAAUUAAUAUACAGUUAAAUAUGGCCUAAAUAUUGAGGCUUCCAAAAAACCUAAUUUUCCUCUCAGGAAGUAGCUUACCCUCUAGAAAAAUCUCACUAAUUAC